rnacentral:rRNA from 1 species
UACCCGCAGCACAAGUGGUGGUCAUUAUUAUUGGGCCUAAAGCGUCCGUAGCUGGCCUGUUAGAUGCCUGGGUAAAUCGAUGCGCUCAACGCAUCGAACUCCGGGUAGACCGGCAGGCUUGGGACCGGGAGAGGCGUGAGCUACUCGAGGGGUAGGGGUAAAAUCCUGUAAUCCGUUCGGGGAGGACCAGUGGCGAAGGCGUCACGCUAGAACGGCGUCCGACAGUGAGGGACGAAGCCCUGGGGCGCAA